GACGAACGCUGGCGGCGUGCUUAACACAUGCAAGUCGAGCGAGAGCCGGCUGAGGGGUAACCCUCGGCCGGGGACAGCGGCGAACGGGUGCGUAACACGUGGGUGAUUUGCCUCCGAGUGGGGAACAACACCGGGAAACUGGUGCUAAUACCGCAUGACAUCCUCGGGUCGUACUGAGGAUCAAAGCUGGGGACCGCAAGGCCUAGCGCUUGGAGAGAAGCCCGCGUCCGAUUAGCAGUUGGUGGGGUAAUGGCCUACCAAGGCGACGAUCGGUAGCCGGCCUGAGAGGGCGGACGGCCACACUGGGACUGAGACACGGCCCAGACUCCUACGGGAGCAGCAGUGGGGAAUUUUCGCAAUGGGGGAAACCCUGACGAAGCAACGCCGCGUGGAGGAUGAAGGCCUC
rnacentral:rRNA from 1 species